CCACGCCCUAAACGAUGUAUACUAGUUGUUGCUUUGCAAGUCAAAGCAGUAAUGCAGCUAACGCAUUAAGUAUACCGCCUGGGGAGUACGGUCGCAAGAUUAAAACUCAAAGGAAUAGACGGGGACCCGCACAAGCGGUGGAGCAUGUGGUUUAAUUCGAAGAUACGCGAAGAACCUUACCCGGACUUGAUAUCUAACAAAUCAUCUAGAGAUAGAAGAGUGUCUGCUUGCAGAAAUGUUAAGACAGGUGCUGCACGGCUGU
rnacentral:rRNA from 1 species